rnacentral:rRNA from 1 species
CCUACGGGCGGCAGCAGUAAGGAAUAUUGGUCAAUGGGCGGGAGCCUGAACCAGCCAAGCCGCGUGAAGGAAGAAGGCGCCAGGCGUCGUAAACUUCUUUUGUCGGGGAACAAAGGGCGCCACGCGUGGCGUUGUGAGUGUACCCGAAGAAAAAGCAUCGGCUAACUCCGUGCCAGCAGCCGCGGUAAUACGGAGGAUGCGAGCGUUAUCCGGAUUUAUUGGGUUUAAAGGGUGCGCAGGCGGCCUGUUAAGUCAGCGGUAAAAGCCCGGGGCUCAACCCCGGCGAGCCGUUGAAACUGGCGGGCUGGAGUUGGAGAGAAGUACGCGGAAUGCGCGGUGUAGCGGUGAAAUGCUUAGAUAUCGCGCAGAACCCCGAUUGCGAAGGCAGCUUACCGGCUCCACACUGACGCUGAGGCACGAAAGCGUGGGUAUCGAACAGGAUUAGAUACCCUAGUAGUC